UCAAGUGUAUCAAUCAAUAUGGACGUGUAUACGCUCAGUUCAAGCAAAACAAGUACUCAACCAUAAGCUUGUCCAUCGUCUUACCUCUCCACCACUUAAUGUGUGCUCUUAUAACCAAGAUCAAAAAGGUCUUUAUUAAGGGUUGUAAUGUAGGCUCUUUGGUAAGGUAGGAUAAGUUUGGCUAAAUGACUAAUAGAUACUCUCAAUGUAGUACAAUCACCAAUCGUAUAACAUUCUUACUCAACAAUAAUCCUCCUAUCCCAA
rnacentral:lncRNA from 1 species